GCCUGGGUGGCUCAGUCAGUUAAGCAUCUGACUUCAGCUCAGGUCAUGAUCUCAUGGUUUGUGAGUUUGAGCCCCACGUCAGGCU
rnacentral:tRNA from 1 species